GUGGGGAAUAUUGGACAAUGGGCGCAAGCCUGAUCCAGCCAUGCCGCGUGAGUGAUGAAGGCCUUAGGGUUGUAAAGCUCUUUUGUCCAGGAAGAUAAUGACUGUACCGGAAGAAUAAGCCCCGGCUAACUUCGUGCCAGCAGCCGCGGUAAUACGAAGGGGGCUAGCGUUGCUCGGAAUCACUGGGCGUAAAGGGCGCGUAGGCGGACUUUUAAGUCGGAGGUGAAAGCCCAGGGCUCAACCCUGGAAUUGCCUUCGAUACUGGAAGUCUUGAGUUCGGAAGAGGUUGGUGGAACUGCGAGUGUAGAGGUGAAAUUCGUAGAUAUUCGCAAGAACACCAGUGGCGAAGGCGGCCAACUGGUCCGAUACUGACGCUGAGGCGCGAAAGCGUGGGGAGCAAACAGGAUUAGAAACCCUAGUAGUCC
rnacentral:rRNA from 1 species